GCCUGGCUGGCUCAGUGGGUGGAGCAUGUGACUCUUGAUCUCAGGGUUGUGGGUUUGAGCCCCACGUAGGCU
rnacentral:tRNA from 1 species